UACGAAGGGGGCUAGCGUUGUUCGGAAUCACUGGGCGUAAAGCGCACGUAGGCGGAUUUUUAAGUCAGGGGUGAAAUCCCGAGGCUCAACCUCGGAACUGCCUUUGAUACUGGAGAUCUUGAGUCCGGAAGAGGUAAGUGGAACUGCGAGUGUAGAGGUGAAAUUCGUAGAUAUUCGCAAGAACACCAGUGGCGAAGGCG
rnacentral:rRNA from 1 species